CCACGCUGUAAACGAUGUCGAUUUGGAGGUUGUGCCCUUGAGGCGUGGCUUCCGGAGCUAACGCGUUAAAUCGACCGCCUGGGGAGUACGGCCGCAAGGUUAAAACUCAAAUGAAUUGACGGGGGCCCGCACAAGCGGUGGAGCAUGUGGUUUAAUUCGAUGCAACGCGAAGAACCUUACCUACUCUUGACAUCCAGAGAACUUUCCAGAGAUGGAUUGGUGCCUUCGGGAACUCUGAGACAGGUGCUGCAUGGCUGUCGUCAGCUCGUGUUGUGAAAUGUUGGGUUAAGUCCCGCAACGAGCGCAACCCUUAUCCUUUGUUGCCAGCGGUUCGGCCGGGAACUCAAAGGAGACUGCCAGUGAUAAACUGGAGGAAGGUGGGGAUGACGUCAAGUCAUCAUGGCCCUUACGAGUAGGGCUACACACGUGCUACAAUGGCAUAUACAAAGAGAAGCGACCUCGCGAGAGCAAGCGGACCUCAUAAAGUAUGUCGUAGUCCGGAUUGGAGUCUGCAACUCGACUCCAUGAAGUCGGAAUCGCUAGUAAUCGUAGAUCAGAAUGCUACGGUGAAUACGUUCCCGGGCCUUGUACACACCGCCCGUCACACCAUGGGAGUGGGUUGCAAAAGAAGUAGGUAGCUUAACCUUCGGGGGGGCGCUUACCACUUUGUGAUUCAUGACUGGGGUGAAGUCGUAACAAGGUAACC
rnacentral:rRNA from 1 species